UGUUAAAAAUUCCAUCUAUUUGUACUAUUAAAAAUUGACAUGGCUAACGAAAUAACCAUACAGUAACAAGUGACGUGCCACGUGUGCCUCAUAUAAGCAUAUAAAAGCUAACUUUUAAAAAUAGAAAUGGAUGAAAUUUUUAAUA
rfam:Gossypium hirsutum cultivar TM-1 unplaced genomic scaffold scaffold1659.1, whole genome shotgun sequence